ACCAGCAGCCAUAUCUCCCUGCAGCCCAAGACUGGUUGCCCACUGAAGCUAAGCAGGGUUGAGCCUGGUCAGUACCUGGUUGUGAGACCUCCUGGGAAAAACUAGGUUGCUGCUGGAA
rnacentral:rRNA from 1 species